UUAAGUUAUUAAGGGCGCACGGUGGAUGCCUUGGCACUAGAAGCCGAUGAAGGACGUUACUAACGACGAUAUGCUUUGGGGAGCUGUAAGUAAGCUUUGAUCCAGAGAUUUCCGAAUGGGGAAACCCAGCAUGAGUUAUGUCAUGUUAUCGAUAUGUGAAUACAUAGCAUAUCAGAAGGCACACCCGGAGAACUGAAACAUCUUAGUACCCGGAGGAAGAGAAAGAAAAUUCGAUUCCCUUAGUAGCGGCGAGCGAAACGGGAAGAGCCCAAACCAACAAGCUUGCUUGUUGGGGUUGUAGGACACUCUAUACGGAGUUACAAAGGACGACAUUAGACGAAUCAUCUGGAAAGAUGAAUCAAAGAAGGUAAUAAUCCUGUAGUCGAAAAUGUUGUCUCUCUUGAGUGGAUCCUGAGUACGACGGAGCACGUGAAAUUCCGUCGGAAUCUGGGAGGACCAUCUCCUAAGGCUAAAUACUCUCUAGUGACCGAUAGUGAACCAGUACCGUGAGGGAAAGGUGAAAAGCACCCCGGAAGGGGAGUGAAAUAGAACCUGAAACCGUGUGCUUACAAGUAGUCAGAGCCCGUUAAUGGGUGAUGGCGUGCCUUUUGUAGAAUGAACCGGCGAGUUACGAUUUGAUGCAAGGUUAAGCAGUAAAUGUGGAGCCGUAGCGAAAGCGAGUCUGAAUAGGGCGUUUAGUAUUUGGUCGUAGACCCGAAACCAGGUGAUCUACCCUUGGUCAGGUUGAAGUUCAGGUAACACUGAAUGGAGGACCGAACCGACUUACGUUGAAAAGUGAGCGGAUGAACUGAGGGUAGCGGAGAAAUUCCAAUCGAACCUGGAGAUAGCUGGUUCUCUCCGAAAUAGCUUUAGGGCUAGCCUCAAGUGAUGAUUAUUGGAGGUAGAGCACUGUUUGGACGAGGGGCCCCUCUCGGGUUACCGAAUUCAGACAAACUCCGAAUGCCAAUUAAUUUAACUUGGGAGUCAGAACAUGGGUGAUAAGGUCCGUGUUCGAAAGGGAAACAGCCCAGACCACCAGCUAAGGUCCCAAAAUAUAUGUUAAGUGGAAAAGGAUGUGGCGUUGCCCAGACAACUAGGAUGUUGGCUUAGAAGCAGCCAUCAUUUAAAGAGUGCGUAAUAGCUCACUAGUCGAGUGACACUGCGCCGAAAAUGUACCGGGGCUAAACAUAUUACCGAAGCUGUGGAUUGUCCUUUGGACAAUGGUAGGAGAGCGUUCUAAGGGCGUUGAAGCAUGAUCGUAAGGACAUGUGGAGCGCUUAGAAGUGAGAAUGCCGGUGUGAGUAGCGAAAGACGGGUGAGAAUCCCGUCCACCGAUUGACUAAGGUUUCCAGAGGAAGGCUCGUCCGCUCUGGGUUAGUCGGGUCCUAAGCUGAGGCCGACAGGCGUAGGCGAUGGAUAACAGGUUGAUAUUCCUGUACCACCUAUAAUCGUUUUAAUCGAUGGGGGGACGCAGUAGGAUAGGCGAAGCGUGCGAUUGGAUUGCACGUCUAAGCAGUAAGGCUGAGUAUUAGGCAAAUCCGGUACUCAUUAAGGCUGAGCUGUGAUGGGGAGAAGACAUUGUGUCUUCGAGUCGUUGAUUUCACACUGCCGAGAAAAGCCUCUAGAUAGAAAAUAGGUGCCCGUACCGCAAACCGACACAGGUAGUCAAGAUGAGAAUUCUAAGGUGAGCGAGCGAACUCUCGUUAAGGAACUCGGCAAAAUGACCCCGUAACUUCGGGAGAAGGGGUGCUCUUUAGGGUUAACGCCCAGAAGAGCCGCAGUGAAUAGGCCCAAGCGACUGUUUAUCAAAAACACAGGUCUCUGCUAAACCGUAAGGUGAUGUAUAGGGGCUGACGCCUGCCCGGUGCUGGAAGGUUAAGAGGAGUGGUUAGCUUCUGCGAAGCUACGAAUCGAAGCCCCAGUAAACGGCGGCCGUAACUAUAACGGUCCUAAGGUAGCGAAAUUCCUUGUCGGGUAAGUUCCGACCCGCACGAAAGGCGUAACGAUUUGGGCACUGUCUCAACGAGAGACUCGGUGAAAUCAUAGUACCUGUGAAGAUGCAGGUUACCCGCGACAGGACGGAAAGACCCCGUGGAGCUUUACUGUAG
rnacentral:rRNA from 1 species